UGGAAUGGCUUUUUGAAAAGCCCAAAGCACUUUUUAAAAAAGCUAUUGACUAAAAAGUGUUUGGUAAAAUAAAAAAAAUAGCUUUUUUAGGAAUUUAGGUUAAAAUUAUAGCUUUUUAUCAAAGUUGGCCCACACCAACUUUGAGAUUUUAGCUUAUACGGGAAGCUGAAAUUGUGGUUUAAUGAUAUUUUUUUUGGACCAAAAUACCCUCAUUUAAAUUAGAAUUAUUAGGUCUUCUUUUUCAAUCGUUAAAUCUUCUUCACCUUGCCUCACCAUUUCUUCUUCCUUCUUCCUCACGGACUACACUUCUCUGUCAAAAACUCCAGCACAAUCAAGUCAAGAUGGAAAAUGAAAAUAAUAUUUGCACCAAGAGUGACGUACCAAGAAGUAAAGCAAUAUGGAAUUCAGAGAGUUUGAAUUUUUUCUUAGACUUCUGUAUCAAAGAGGUUGAUGAUGGGCAUCGUCCUACUACUUAUUUAGAUAAAGUUGGAUAUGUAAACUUGAUUACAAAUAUGAAGAAAGCAACUGAAAGAGAUUACACUAAA